UACACAGGAAGGCAGCAACUUGACGGAGCAGGGAAAAGUGCUGGACCUGGACUCAGGAGAGACCUAAGUCUGAAUCCUACUUCCCAAUUUACUAGUUGGGUAACCACAGAUAGGAGCCAGAACUCCACAGAGCAGGAAAACAGAUGACCCCAUUGACUCUGAGGUAGCCAACCCUGCCUACCAGGAGUCACUCUGGGUCCUUCGAGGCUAUGCUAGCAGAAUCAAGGCUCUGCCAAGACUUACCAAGCUGGAAAGAAUUCAAGCAAAAGCGUGGUGAUCAGCUAUCACCCAAGGACCAACCUCUGGCUCAUCACUGAGGUUGACCAACAGGCAUGUCACAGAAUCACUGAAUUUCAGAGUUAGAAGGGACCUCAAUGCUCAUAACACAUACAGGAAAGCAAUUUCCAUACCUAACAAAUGGUCAGCCAGUUUGUGAUUGAAGCUUCCAAAGAGGUGGAACACAUUGCAUCUUGCAGAUAAUUGUGCAUUCAAUGCAGCCUCUGAGGCUGAGAUGCAGCAGAGCAUGGAUUGGUUCCUUGCUGCCUGUGCUAAUUUUGGCCUGACAACAACAAGAAAAUACAGGUACUCCACCAGCCAGCACCACACUAAACAUACGUGGAACCAUUAGUUACAGCAAAUGGAGAAAUAUUGCAUGCUGUGGAUAAGUUCACUUACCGUGGCCUUAUGCUUUUUAGGGAUGUCCGCAUAGAUGAUGAAGUUGAUGCACGCAUUGCCAUAGCUAGCUCACGUUUGGAAGGCUCCAAAGGAAUGUGUGGGAGAGAAGAGAUAUUAGACUGCCUGACAAACUGGAAGACUACAGAGCCAUUGCUCUGGCCUCUUUGUUACAUGCCUAUGAAACCUGCACAGUAUAUAAGCACCAUUCCAGAAAAUGGAAUCACUUUCAUUUGAAUUGUCUCAAGAAGAUUCUGAAUAUCAUCUGGCAAGAUAAGGUACCAGACACAGGUCCUUUCUUGGGCUAAACUUGCAAGCAUUCAAAUUCUGCCAGAAAGAGUGCAAUUCCAAUGGACUGGCCACAUUGUUUGAAUGCCAAAUGCUAAAAUCCUAAAAGACUAUUUUAUGGAGGACUGACAGAAGGCAAGCCAACACAUGGAGGUCAGAAGAAGGGAUACAAGGACACUCUCAAGGUCUCUCUGAAGAACUUUGGGAUUGACCAUGUGAUA